rnacentral:rRNA from 1 species
AACGAACGCUGGCGGCAUGCCUAACACAUGCAAGCCGAACGAGACCUUCGGGUCUAGUGGCGCACGGGUGCGUAACGCGUGGGAACCUGCCCUUAGGUUCGGAAUAACCCCCCGAAAGGGGUGCUAAUACCGGAUAAUGUCUUCGGACCAAAGAUUUAUCGCCUUUGGAUGGGCCCGCGUUGGAUUAGCUAGUUGGUAGGGUAAAAGCCUACCAAGGCGACGAUCCAUAGCUGGUCUGAGAGGAUGAUCAGCCACACUGGGACUGAGACACGGCCCAGACUCCUACGGGAGGCAGCAGUGGGGAAUAUUGGACAAUGGGCGAAAGCCUGAUCCAGCAAUGCCGCGUGAGUGAUGAAGGCCUUAGGGUUGUAAAGCUCUUUUACCCGGGAUGAUAAUGACAGUACCGGGAGAAUAAGCUCCGGCUAACUCCGUG